rnacentral:rRNA from 1 species
GUAGUAAUCUGGUUGAUCCUGCCAGUAGUCAUAUGCUUGUCUCAAAGAUUAAGCCAUGCAUGUGUAAGUAUAAGUAUUGUACAGCGAAACUGCGAAUGGCUCAUUAAAACAGUUAUAAUUUAUUUGAUAAUCAAAAGUUACAUGGAUAACCGUGACAAAUUACAGCUAAUACAUGCAGCCCUUCACGGGGUGGUAAUUAUUAGUAUAAGCCAUUUCCUUCGGGAGUGUGAUGAAUCAUAGUAAUCGAACGAAGCUCAGAAUUCUGAGCUAAAUCAUUCAAGUUUCUGACCUAUCAGCUUUGGAUGGUAGUGUAUUGGACUACCAUGGCAAUCACGGGUAACGGAGAAUUAGGGUUCGAUUCCGGAGAGGGAGCCUGAGAAACGGCUACCACAUCUAAGGAAGGCAGCAGGCGCGAAAAUUGCCCAAUCCUGAUUCAGGGAGGCAGUGACAAGAAAUAACAACUCUCGACAUUAGUCGAGAAGUGUAAUGGGGAUAAUUUACAAACCUUACCGAAAGCAAUUGGAGGGCAAGUCUGGUGCCAGCAGCCGCGGUAAUUCCAGCUCCAAUAGCGUAUAUUAAAGUUGUUGCAGUUAAAAAGCUCGUAGUUGAAGUUCUGUUAGUAUUGGGCUUCUGCACUCGAUGCGCAAGCACCAGCUAACAUCCGCUUGCAAAUACAUGUCCUUCCUUCACCGGUAGGCUGUAUAAGUAAGCACUUUACCUUGAGAAAAACAGAGUGUUCCAGGCAG